rnacentral:rRNA from 1 species
UAAGGNGNCUAUAUGCAGUCGAGCGGUAACAGAAAGUAGCUUGCUACUUUGCUGACGAGCGGCGGACGGGUGAGUAAUGCUUGGGAACAUGCCUUGAGGUGGGGGACAACAGUUGGAAACGACUGCUAAUACCGCAUAAUGUCUACGGACCAAAGGGGGCUUCNGCUCUCGCCUUUANAUUGGCCCAAGUGGGAUUANCUANUUGGUGAGGUAAUGGCUCACCANCGCNACGAUCCCUAGCUG